AUUUUUUUGCAGGGGAACUGUCGUCAAGGCGGUUGAGAGGAGCGAAAGCCCGACCCUUUGAACCUGUCGGUCAACACCGUCGUAGGGAGCAAGCCAUGCUGAGCU
rnacentral:ncRNA from 1 species